rnacentral:rRNA from 1 species
UACGGGGGGGGCAAGCGUUGUUCGGAAUUACUGGGCGUAAAGGGCUCGUAGGCGGCCAACUAAGUCGGACGUGAAAUCCCUCGGCUCAACCGGGGAACUGCGUCCGAUACUGGAUGGCUUGAGUUCGGGAGAGGGAUGCGGAAUUCCAGGUGUAGCGGUGAAAUGCGUAGAUAUCGGGAAGAACACCCGUGGCGAAGGCGGCUCUCUGGGACGGUACUGACGCUGAGACGCGAAAGCGUGGGGAGCGAACAGG